rnacentral:rRNA from 1 species
AUUGAACGCUGGCGGCAGGCUUAACACAUGCAAGUCGAGCGAGCGGCGGACGGGUGAGUAAUGUCUGGGAAACUGCUUGAUGGAGGGGGAUAACUACUGGAAACGGUAGCUAAUACCGCAUACCAUCAGAUGUGCCCAGAUGGGAUUAGCUAGUAGGUGGGGUAAUGGCUCACCUAGGCGACGAUCCCUAGCUGGUCUGAGAGGAUGACGAGCAACACUGGAGGUGAGACGCGGCCCAGACGCCUACGUGAGGCGGCCGUUGGGAGUAUUGCAGAAUGGGCGCAAGCGUGAUGCAGCCAUGCCGCUUGUGUGAAGAAGGCCUUCGGGUUGUAAAGCACUUUCAGCGAGGAGGCGUUACUCUCAGAAGAAGCACCGUCUAACGCCGUGCCAGCAGUCGCGGUAAUAC